rnacentral:lncRNA from 1 species
GGCUUCUGGGCUGGAACUGGGAGGAGCCGGCCCGGGGCGGGCUGUGCCGGGCCCCGCCCCCAUCCGCUGGGGCCGCGGGAGCACUCGGUCCGCAAAUCCCCUGCGCUCGGCUCACUCCUGUGAUGUCUGAAUCCAGGCCUCUGCUCUCCUUGGCUGUAAACUCAGUGCAGGGAUUGUGUCUUCUUUAAUAUCUUGUGGGAAGCAGAGUACAGUGUGGCGGCUGAUAAAUAAUAAAUAAUAAUAAUCUACUGAGGGUAGCAGGAGGACUGUCAGCGAAAGGGAAUGAGGACACCAGGGAGAUGGCACUUUGGUGUCAGAGUAACUGCAUUUCCUGCAAGAAGAAAAUGUGGAGUAAAGUUUUGGUGUGUGAAGCCUGAGGACAGGGGAGGGGACAAGGCAAGGCACUGCAGGGAGGAAUCCACCCGUGAUGAGGAGGAAGCCACCCUCUAAAUGAUCCACAUGAUUCACCACGUACGAGCAAAAGCAGGAAUCCCCUCCGCGGCUACGUUCCGGAGCAGUGGCAUGUAGGACAGCAAAGUGUAGUUUGGGUGCGCAGGGUCUGGGGUAGGUCGACUUCCGGCGAUCUGAGGCACUCCUAAUGUCUUACAGAUAGUUUUUUUUUUUCAACGUUUAUUUAUUUUGGGGACAGAGAGAGACAGAGCAUGAACGGGGGAGGGGCAGAGAGAGAGGGAGACACAGAAUCGGAAACAGGCUCCAGGCUCUGAGCCAUCAGCCCAGAGCCUGACGCGGGGCUGGAACUCACGGACCGCGAGAUCGUGACCUGGCUGAAGUCGGACGCUCAACCGACUGCGCCACCCAGGCGCCCCUACAGAUAGUUUUGAACGAUCCUCAAAUGAAAGAAGGAAAUACACACUCCAAGAGCUCUUCCAUAGCUACAUCUUUCUAGGUGAAGGUAUGAGGAUUCUCCCGGUUUGCCUCCUGACUUUAUCAAAGGAGAGAGUCCUUGCUGAAUCCCCAUCUACACAGAAGACAACUUUUGGUCUCUGUGAUGCCAAAGGUGUCAGUUCCAGAGUGUUGCAACGGC